UACGUAGGGGGCUAGCGUUAUCCGGAAUUACUGGGCGUAAAGGGUGCGUAGGUGGUUUCUUAAGUCAGAGGUGAAAGGCUACGGCUCAACCGUAGUAAGCCUUUGAAACUGGGAAACUUGAGUGCAGGAGGGGAGAGUGGAAUUCCUAGUGUAGCGGUGAAAUGCGUAGAUAUUAGGAGGAACACCAGUUGCGAAGGCGGCUCUCUGGACUGUAACUGACACUGAGGCACGAAAGCGUGGGGAGCAAACAGGAUUAGAUACCCCGGUAGUCCCUGAGCGGGCUGG
rnacentral:rRNA from 1 species